AAUAUGGCACAAUGGGGGAAACCCUGAUGCAGCGACGCCGCGUGAGCGAAGAAGGCCUUCGGGUCGUAAAGCUCUGUCCUAUGGGAAGAAACGGACGGUCCCUUAGGAGGAAGCUCCGGCUAACUACGUGCCAGCAGCCGCGGUAAUACGUAGGGGGCGAGCGUUAUCCGGAAUUACUGGGCGUAAAGGGUGCGUAGGCGGCCUUUUAAGUCAGAUGUGAAAGGCUACGGCUUAACCGUAGUUAGCAUUUGAAGCUGAAAGGCUUGAGUGCAAGAGAGGAGAGUGGAAUUCCUAGUGUAGCGGUGAAAUGCGUAGAUAUUAGGAAGAACACCGAUGGCGAAGACGACUCUCUAGACUGCAACUGACGCUGAGGCACGAAAGCGUGGGGAGCGAAC
rnacentral:rRNA from 1 species